rnacentral:rRNA from 1 species
AAUCAACGCUGGCGGCGUGCCUCAGACAUGCAAGUCGAACGCGAAAGUUCCCUUCGGGGAGCAAGUAGAGUGGCGCACGGGUGAGUAACACGUAGGUAAUUUGCCUUCGGGUGGGGAAUAACAGUCGGAACGACUGCUAAUACCGCAUAAUGCAGCGGCUCGACAUCGAGACAGUUGUUAAAGCGGGGGAGUCCUUCGGGACCUCGCGCCUGAAGAGAAGCCUGCGGCAGAUUAGCUAGUUGGUGAGGUAAUGGCCCACCAAGGCUACGAUCUGUAACCGGCCUGAGAGGGCGGUCGGUCACACUGACACUGACAUACGGGUCAGACUCCUACGGGAGGCAGCAGUCGGG